GAGAUAUGGAAUGCGAAAAUGCAUAUCAUCUUUAUCACAACUUAUAAUAAUACGAUACAAACGGAGUCAAAUCCCACAAUAGAUUCAUAUAGUACUCCAAACAUAUUAAACACACAAGAGAUAUUAUUCAAUUAGAAACCAAACUAAGAGUAAAAAAAAGUACAAACCAAACUCAUAAUUUUCGAUCCACAAAGAAAUACAAUAGAGCAAAUAACACUACAAAUGAACACCCUUAACACUUGAUGGUGGCACUUUCUUCCAAAUAACUUUAACAAGAUCAAUAUAUAAAGGAAGUUGCACUGCUGCAUAGAAUAUGACAGGAAAGCUAAAGACAAUAUAUAAAUAGAACAAGAUAUCAUGUUUACCAU
rnacentral:lncRNA from 1 species